UACAGAGGGUGCGAGCGUUAAUCGGAAUUACUGGGCGUAAAGCGCGCGUAGGCGGCUUUGCAAGUCGGGUGUGAAAUCCCCAGGCUUAACCUGGGAACUGCAUUCGAGACUGCAUUGCUAGAGUAUGGGAGAGGGAAGUGGAAUUUCCGGUGUAGCGGUGAAAUGCGUAGAUAUCGGAAGGAACAUCAGUGGCGAAGGCGGCUUCUGGACCGACACUGACGCUGAGGCGCGAAAGCGUGGGGAGCAAACAGG
rnacentral:rRNA from 1 species